CCUACGGGAGGCAGCAGUGGGGAAUAUUGCGCAAUGGGCGGAAGCCUGACGCAGCGACGCCGCGUGAGGGACGAAGGCCUUCGGGUUGUAAACCUCUUUCAGCAGGGACGAAGCGUGAGUGACGGUACCUGCAGAAGAAGCACCGGCCAACUACGUGCCAGCAGCCGCGGUAAUACGUAGGGUGCAAGCGUUGUCCGGAAUUAUUGGGCGUAAAGAGCUCGUAGGCGGUUUGUCGCGUCGACUGUGAAAACCCGAGGCUUAACCUCGGGCCUGCAGUCGAUACGGGCAGACUAGAGUUCGGUAGGGGAGACUGGAAUUCCUGGUGUAGCGGUGAAAUGCGCAGAUAUCAGGAGGAACACCGGUGGCGAAGGCGGGUCUCUGGGCCGAUACUGACGCUGAGGAGCGAAAGCGUGGGGAGCGAACAGGAUUAGAUACCCUGGUAGUCCACGCCGUAAACGUUGGGCGCUAGGUGUGGGGGUCUUUCCACGAUCUCCGUGCCGCAGCUAACGCAUUAAGCGCCCCGCCUGGGGAGUACGGCCGCAAGGCUAAAACUCAAAGGAAUUGACGGGGGCCCGCACAAGCGGCGGAGCAUGCGGCUUAAUUCGACGCAACGCGAAGAACCUUACCAAGGCUUGACAUACGCCGAAAUCCUCCAGAGAUGGGGGGUCCGUAAGGGCGGCGUACAGGUGGUGCAUGGUUGUCGUCAGCUCGUGUCGUGAGAUGUUGGGUUAAGUCCCGCAACGAGCGCAACCCUCGUUCUAUGUUGCCAGCGCGUGAUGGCGGGGACUCAUAGGAGACUGCCGGGGUCAACUCGGAGGAAGGUGGGGAUGACGUCAAAUCAUCAUGCCCCUUAUGUCCUGGGCUGCACGCAUGCUACAAUGGCCAGUACAAAGGGCUGCGAUACCGUAAGGUGAGCGAAUCCCAAAAAGCUGGUCUCAGUUCGGAUUGGGGUUCUGCAACUCGACCCCAUGAAGUCGGAGUCGCUAGUAAUCGCAGAUCAGCACGCCGCGGUGAAUACGUUUCCCGGG
rnacentral:rRNA from 1 species